UACGUAGGGGGCAAGCGUUGUCCGGAUUUAUUGGGCGUAAAGAGCGUGUAGGCGGCUUUACAGGUCCGUUGUGAAAACUCGAGGCUCAACCUCGAGACGCCGGUGGAAACCGUAAAGCUAGAGUCCGGAAGAGGAGAGUGGAAUUCCUGGUGUAGCGGUGAAAUGCGCAGAUAUCAGGAGGAACACCCGUGGCGAAAGCGGCUCGCUGGGACGGUACUGACGCUGAGACGCGAAAGCGUGGGGAGCAAACAGG
rnacentral:rRNA from 1 species